rnacentral:rRNA from 1 species
UAAUACGAGGGGUGCAAGUGUUGUUCGGAAUCACUGGGCGUAAAGGGAGCGUAGGCGGACUUUUAAGUCAGAUGUUUAAUUUCGGGGCCCAACCCCGAACUUGCGUUUGAAACUGGAGGUCUUGAAUAUAUGUAGAGGUGAAUGGAAUUCCCGGUGUAGCGGUGGAAUGCGUAGAUAUCGGGAGGAACACCAGUUGCGAAGGCGAUUCACUGGACUAAUAUUGACGCUGAGGCUCGAAAGCGUGGGGAGCGAACAGG